rnacentral:rRNA from 1 species
AUGGCGGGGCGGAGCUACCAUGCAGUCGAGCGGUAACAGAUCCAGCUUGCUGGAUGCUGACGAGCGGCGGACGGGUGAGUAAUGCAUAGGAAUCUGCCCGAUAGUGGGGGAUAACCUGGGGAAACCCAGGCUAAUACCGCAUACGUCCUACGGGAGAAAGGGGGCUUCGGCUCCCGCUAUCGGAUGAGCCUAUGUCGGAUUAGCUAGUUGGUGAGGUAACGGCUCACCAAGGCCACGAUCCGUAGCUGGUCUGAGAGGAUGAUCAGCCACAUCGGGACUGAGACACGGCCCGAACUCCUACGGGAGGCAGCAGUGGGGAAUAUUGGACAAUGGGGGGAACCCUGAUCCAGCCAUGCCGCGUGUGUGAAGAAGGCCCUCGGGUUGUAAAGCACUUUCAGCGAGGAAGAACGCCUAGCGGUUAAUACCCGCUAGGAAAGACAUCACUCGCAGAAGAAGCACCGGCUAACUCCGUGCCAGCAGCCGCGGUAAUACGGAGGGUGCAAGCGUUAAUCGGAAUUACUGGGCGUAAAGCGCGCGUAGGUGGCUUGAUAAGCCGGUUGUGAAAGCCCCGGGCUCAACCUGGGAACGGCAUCCGGAACUGUCAAGCUAGAGUGCAGGAGAGGAAGGUAGAAUUCCCGGUGUAGCGGUGAAAUGCGUAGAGAUCGGGAGGAAUACCAGUGGCGAAGGCGGCCUUCUGGACUGACACUGACACUGAGGUGCGAAAGCGUGGGUAGCAAACAGGAUUAGAUAUCUUUGGUAGUC